rnacentral:rRNA from 1 species
UAGGGAAUCUUCGGCAAUGGACGAAAGUCUGACCGAGCAACGCCGCGUGAGUGAAGAAGGUUUUCGGAUCGUAAAACUCUGUUGUUAGAGAAGAACAAGGACGUUAGUAACUGAACGUCCCCUGACGGUAUCUAACCAGAAAGCCACGGCUAACUACGUGCCAGCAGCCGCGGUAAUACGUAGGUGGCAAGCGUUGUCCGGAUUUAUUGGGCGUAAAGCGAGCGCAGGCGGUUUCUUAAGUCUGAUGUGAAAGCCCCCGGCUCAACCGGGGAGGGUCAUUGGACACUGGGAGACUUGAGUGCAGAAGAGGGGAGUGGAAUUCCAUGUGUAGCGGUGAAAUGCGUAGAUAUAUGGAGGAACACCAGUGGCGAAGGCGGCUCUCUGGUCUGUAACUGACGCUGAGGCUCGAAAGCGUGGGGAGCAAACAGG